rnacentral:lncRNA from 1 species
GUGAGGGCAACAGAUCGGCGGAUUUUUUGGCUUCUCAAGCUUGGGAAGAGGGUUUUUGGCCUCAUGCCAUUGAUGGUUUAAAUGAUUUUGUCAAGGAGGAUGUUUCUAUUCCCUAUUUUACUCGUUUCGCUUGAUUUUUUGGUUUUUUUCUCUUCGUUCUGGAUCGGUUUCGAGCCGGGAGGCCUAAGGGUAAUGGUUCGGCCGGAAUCCUUGAGACCUCCUAACUCAGCUCUGUCAACCUUGAUCCUUGACGAGUACUCUUUUUCCUCAACUGUUUUGAGGUUUUAACGAGGCUCGGCCCUUAGUCUGCAGCUUUGUGCUUUCAAGGGUUUUUGGUUUUCCGUUGUUUCUUUUUAAUAAAAUCUUAUUUCAGCAGCAGGAAGUAUUUGAUAACAUGAUUUUAUAUACUUUUUGUUUAUUAUAUGACUUUAAAUCGUUGUAUUAGCUUUUUAAUUUUGCAAUUAUGAUUACAAUAGCAAUU